rnacentral:rRNA from 1 species
AUUGAACGCUGGCGGCAUGCCUUACACAUGCAAGUCGAACGGUAACGCGGGGCAACCUGGCGACGAGUGGCGAACGGGUGAGUAAUGCAUCGGAACGUGCCCAGUAGUGGGGGAUAGCCCGGCGAAAGCCGGAUUAAUACCGCAUACGACCUAAGGGUGAAAGGGGGGGAUCGCAAGACCUCUCGCUAUUGGAGCGGCCGAUGUCAGAUUAGGUAGUUGGUGGGGUAAAGGCCUACCAAGCCGACGAUCUGUAGCUGGUCUGAGAGGACGACCAGCCACACUGGGACUGAGACACGGCCCAGACUCCGACGGGAAGCAGCAGUGGGGAAUUUUGGACAAUGGACGCAAGUCUGAUCCAGCCAUGCCGCGUGCGGGAAGAAGGCCUUCGGGUUGUAAACCGCUUUUGUCAGGGAAGAAAUCUUCUGGGUUAAUACCUCGGGAGGAUGACGGUACCUGAAGAAUAAGCACCGGCUAACUACGUGCCAGCCGCCGCCGUAA